rnacentral:rRNA from 1 species
AUUGAACGCUGGCGGCAGGCCUAACACAUGCAAGUCGAACGGUAACAGGAAACAGCUUGCUGUUUCGCUGACGAGUGGCGGACGGGUGAGUAAUGUCUGGGAAACUGUCUGAUGGAGGGGGAUAACUACUGGAAACGGUAGCUAAUACCGCAUAACGUCGCAAGACCAAAGAGGGGGACCUUCGGGCCUCUUGCCAUCGGAUGUGCCCAGAUGGGAUUAGCUAGUAGGUGGGGUAACGGCUCACCUAGGCGACGAUCCCUAGCUGGUCUGCGAGGAUGUCCAGCCACACUGGAACUGAGACACGGUCCAGACUCCUACGGGAGGCAGCAGUGGGGAAUAUUGCACAAUGCGCGCAAGCCUGAUGCAGCCAUGUCGCGUGUAUGAAGAAGGCCUACGGGUUGUAAAGUACUUUCAGCGGGGAGGAAGAGAGUAAAGUUAAUACCUUCGCUCAUUGACGUUACCCGCAGAAGAAGCACCGGCUAACUCCGUGCCAGCCGCCGCGGUAA